CUCAGGGUGGCCGAGUGGUUGAAGGCGCUGCAUUCAAGUCUCUGUGGGUUCAAAUCCCACUCCUGACA
rnacentral:tRNA from 1 species